GCGAGACGGAGGGGCCGAUGAACGAGGGAGACCGAUAAACUGUUCUCGGACGACGCCGGGCGCAGCUCCCGACCCGUCCACCAAUGAUCAGCCAGCAGCCGCUGCAACCCCAGGGAG
rnacentral:sRNA from 1 species